CACGUAGGGUGCGAGCGUUGUCCGGAAUUAUUGGGCGUAAAGAGCUCGUAGGCGGUCUGUCGCGUCUGCUGUGAAAACUCAGGGCUUAACCCUGAGCUUGCAGUGGGUACGGGCAGACUAGAGUGCGGUAGGGGAGACUGGAAUUCCUGGUGUAGCGGUGAAAUGCGCAGAUAUCAGGAGGAACACCGGUGGCGAAGGCAGCUCGCUGGGACGGUACUGACGCUGAGACGCGAAAGCGUGGGGAGCGAACAGG
rnacentral:rRNA from 1 species